UACGGGGGGGGCAAGCGUUGUUCGGAAUUACUGGGCGUAAAGGGCUCGUAGGUGGCCAACUAAGUCAGACGUGAAAUCCCUCGGCUUAACCGGGGAACUGCGUCUGAUACUGGAUGGCUUGAGUUUGGGAGAGGGUCGUGGAAUUCCCGGUGUAGCGGUGAAAUGCGUAGAGAUCGGGAGGAACACCAGAGGCGAAGGCGGCGACCUGGACAGGUACUGACACUAAACUACGAAAGCGUGGGGAGCAAACAGG
rnacentral:rRNA from 1 species